rnacentral:rRNA from 1 species
GACGAACGCUGGCGGCGUGCCUAAUACAUGCAAGUCGAACGAAGGGGGGACGGGUGAGUAACACGUGGGUAACCUCGCAUCAGAGGGGAUAACACUUGGAAACAGGUGCUAAACCGAUACUGAUGGAUGGAACCGCGGUGCAUUAGCUAGUUGGUGAGGUAACGGCUCACAAAGGCCACGAUCCAUAGCCGGCCGGAUAGGGUGAUCGGCCACACUGGGACGGAGACACGGCCCAGACUCCUACGGGAGGCAGCAGUAGGGAAUCUUCGGCAAUGGACGAAAGUCUGACCGAGCAACGCCGCGUGAGUGAAGAAGGUUUUCGGAUCGUAAAACUCUGUUGUUAGAGAAGCGGUAUCUAACCAGAAAGCCACGGCUAACUACGUGCCAGCAGCCGCGGUAAUUC